rnacentral:tRNA from 1 species
GGACCCAUGGCGCAACGGUAGCGCGUCAGAUUCCAGUUACCAUGUAACAGGAAUUUCCUGAAGGUUAAGCGUUCAAAUCGCUUUGGGUUCA